CAUUCACGGAGAGUUUGAUCCUGGCUCAGGACGAACGCUG
rnacentral:rRNA from 1 species